rnacentral:rRNA from 1 species
CAGUAGCCACGGUAAUACAGAGGGUGCGAGCGUUAAUCGGAUUUACUGGGCGUAAAGCGUGCGUAGGCGGCUAAUUGAGUCGGAUGUGAAAUCCCCGAGCUUAACUUGGGAAUUGCAUUCGAUACUGGUUAGCUAGAGUGUGGGAGAGGAUGGUAGAAUUCCAGGUGUAGCGGUGAAAUGCGUAGAGAUCUGGAGGAAUACCGAUGGCGAAGGCAGCCAUCUGGCCUAACAAUGACGCUGAGGUACGAAAGCAUGGGGAGCAAACAGGAUUAGAUACCCGUGUAGUCCCUGUCUCUUAUAC